GAAAAUAGGGAGUUCUGUGCAAAGGACUAAAAGUGCAACUGGCAAAGUCAGUGAGGCAAAAUGCCCAUGCAUUAUCUGAGAGUUUCUGUGCGUCAGAAAUCCAGGCACAGUGUGUUGGGAUUUUCCCCUCAGUGUUUCAAAAACCUGAAACCAAGAUGUCUACCUCGUUCUCUCUUGCUGGUUGCUGGCUAGGGAUCUCUCUCAAACCGCAGAGGCUAUCUUAGGUUCUAGAUACUUGGCAUUCUCGCAAUAUGGGAGCUUAUUUCUUGA
rnacentral:lncRNA from 1 species